GUAGGGUGCGAGCGUUAUCCGGAAUCAUUGGGCGUAAAGAGCUCGUAGGCGGUUCAGCAAGUCGGCUGUGAAAUUCCGAGGCUCAACCUCGGAACUGCAGUCGAUACUGCUGUGACUCGAGUCCGGUAGAGGAGAAUGGAAUUCAGGGUGUAGCGGUGAAAUGCGCAGAUAUCCUGAGGAACACCAGUAGCGAAGGCGGUUCUCUGGGCCGGUACUGACGCUGAGGAGCGAAAGCGUGGGUAGCAGACAGGAUUAGAUACCCUGGUAGUCCCACGCCGUAAACGUUGGACACUAGGUGUGGCGUUCCGACCAACGGGUGCCGUGCCGAAGCUAACGCAUUAAGUGUCCCCGCCUGGGAGUACGGCCGCAAGGCUA
rnacentral:rRNA from 1 species